rnacentral:rRNA from 1 species
UACGUAGGGUGCAAGCGUUAAUCGGAAUUACUGGGCGUAAAGCGUGCGCAGGCGGUUUUGUAAGUCUGUCGUGAAAGCCCCGGGCUCAACCUGGGAAUUGCGAUGGAGACUGCAAGGCUUGAAUCUGGCAGAGGGGGGUAGAAUUCCACGUGUAGCAGUGAAAUGCGUAGAGAUGCGGAGGAACACCGAUGGCGAAGGCAGCCCCUGGGCUAACACUGACGCUCAGGCACGAAAGCGUGGGGAGCAAACAGGAUUAGAU